GAAAUCGUAGUUUACAUCUACAGCAGCAUAUGCUACAGCAGUGACAACGCCAAAGAAAAGGACUACAUUUCCCAGAAUGCACCUGCACCCACUCAUCUGCCCCUUCAGGUGCGACCGCUUCACCUAUGGGCUUGACGGGAAAAUUCAAAAUCGCGAACCGUUACAGCCUGGACUACUCUUUGUUUGCUUGCACAUCAACAGUAAGAGGUAAUGUACACUGUGGUCAACUUUGUGGACGCUGAAGAGGUUUCUGGGGAAAGAUGAUAGAAAUAUAAUGAAGUAACAGUGGAAGCUAAAACAUCAGACUGAUCCAGACACUGAAGAAAUUGAUGUCACUGCAAUCUGGCCAAAAUGAUACAACUAUAUUGAAGUAGCCUACUGUAAUGCAG